rnacentral:rRNA from 1 species
AUUGAACGCUAGCGGGAUGCUUUACACAUGCAAGUCGAACGGCAGCGCGGACUUCGGUCUGGCGGCGAGUGGCGAACGGGUGAGUAAUGUAUCGGAACGUGCCCAGUAGCGGGGGAUAACUACGCGAAAGCGUAGCUAAUACCGCAUACGCCCUACGGGGGAAAGCAGGGGGUCGUAAGACCUUGCACUAUUGGAGCGGCCGAUAUCGGAUUAGCUAGUUGGUGAGGUAACGGCUCACCAAGGCGACGAUCCGUAGCUGGUUUGAGAGGACGACCAGCCACACUGGGACUGAGACACGGCCCAGACUCCUACGGGAGGCAGCAGUGGGGAAUUUUGGACAAUGGGGGCAACCCUGAUCCAGCCAUCCCGCGUGUGCGAUGAAGGCCUUCGGGUUGUAAAGCACUUUUGGCAGGAAAGAAACGUCGCGGGCUAAUACCCCGUGGAACUGACGGUACCUGCAGAAUAAGCACCGGCUAACUACGUG